rnacentral:rRNA from 1 species
GGGGAUAACACUUGGAAACAGGUGCUAAUACCGGAUAACAACCAAAACCACCUGGUUUUGAUUUAAAAGACGGCUUCGGCUGUCACUUUAGGAUGGACCCGCGGCGCAUUAGCUUGUUGGUAAGGUAACGGCUUACCAAGGCGAUGAUACGUAGCCGACCUGAGAGGGUAAUCGGCCACAUUGGGACUGAGACACGGCCCAAACUCCUACGGGAGGCAGCAGUAGGGAAUCUUCCACAAUGGACGAAAGUCUGAUGGAGCAAUGCCGCGUGAGUGAUGAAGGGUUUCGGCUCGUAAAACUCUGUUGUUGGAGAAGAACAGGUGUCAGAGUAACUGUUGACAUCUUGACGGUAUCCAACCAGAAAGCCACGGCUAACUACGUGCCAGCAGCCGCGGUAAUACGUAGGUGGCAAGCGUUGUCCGGAUUUAUUGGGCGUAAAGCGAGCGCAGGCGGUUUUUUAGGUCUGAUGUGAAAGCCUUCGGCUUAACCGGAGAAGUGCAUCGGAAACCGGGAGACUUGAGUGCAGAAGAGGACAGUGGAACUCCAUGUGUAGCGGUGAAAUGCGUAGAUAUAUGGAAGAACACCAGUGGCGAAGGCGGCUGUCUGGUCUGUAACUGACGCUGAGGCUCGAAAGCAUGGGUAGCGAACAGGAUUAGAUACCCUGGUAGUCCAUGCCGUAAACGAUGAGUGCUAAGUGUUGG